GACGAACGCUGGCGGCGUGCUUAACACAUGCAAGUCGAACGGUAAGGCUCCAGCUUGCUGGGGUACACGAGUGGCGAACGGGUGAGUAACACGUGGGUGACCUGCCCUGCACUUCGGGAUAAGCCUGGGAAACUGGGUCUAAUACCGGAUAGGACCAUGGUGUGGAUACUGUGGUGGAAAGUUUUUUCGGUGUGGGAUGGGCCCGCGGCCUAUCAGCUUGUUGGUGGGGUAAUGGCCUACCAAGGCGGCGACGGGUAGCCGGCCUGAGAGGGUGGACGGCCACAUUGGGACUGAGACACGGCCCAGACUCCUACGGGAGGCAGCAGUGGGGAAUAUUGCACAAUGGGCGGAAGCCUGAUGCAGCGACGCCGCGUGGGUGAUGACGGCCUUCGGGUUGUAAACUCCUUUCACCAUCGACGAAGGGUUUCUGACGGUAGAUGGAGAAGAAGCACCGGCUAACUACGUG
rnacentral:rRNA from 1 species